rnacentral:rRNA from 1 species
CGGCAGCACGGGCUUCGGCCUGGUGGCGAGUGGCGAACGGGUGAGUAAUGCAUCGGAACGUGCCCAUGUCGUGGGGGAUAACGUAGCGAAAGCUACGCUAAUACCGCAUACGCCCUGAGGGGGAAAGCGGGGGAUUCUUCGGAACCUCGCGCGAUUGGAGCGGCCGAUGUCGGAUUAGCUAGUAGGUGAGGUAAAGGCUCACCUAGGCGACGAUCCGUAGCGGGUCUGAGAGGAUGAUCCGCCACACUGGGACUGAGACACGGCCCAGACUCCUACGGGAGGCAGCAGUGGGGAAUUUUGGACAAUGGGGGCAACCCUGAUCCAGCCAUGCCGCGUGAGUGAAGAAGGCCUUCGGGUUGUAAAGCUCUUUCGGCCGGGAAGAAAUCGGCGACUCUAACAUAGUCGCUGGAUGACGGUACCGGACUAAGAAGCACCGGCUAACUACGUGCCAG